rnacentral:rRNA from 1 species
AACGAACGCUGGCGGCAGGCUUAACACAUGCAAGUCGAACGCAUCGCAAGAUGAGUGGCAGACGGGUGAGUAACGCGUGGGAACAUACCCUUUUCUACGGAAUAGCUCUGGGAAACUGGAAUUAAUACCGUAUACGCCCUACGGGGGAAAGAUUUAUCGGGGAAGGAUUGGCCCGCGUUGGAUUAGCUAGUUGUUGGGGUAAAGGCCUACCAAGGCGACGAUCCAUAGCUGGUCUGAGAGGAUGAUCAGCCACAUUGGGACUGAGACACGGCCCAAACUCCUACGGGAGGCAGCAGUGGGGAAUAUUGGACAAUGGGCGCAAGCCUGAUCCAGCCAUGCCGCGUGAGUGAUGAAGGCCUUAGGGUUGUAAAGCUCUUUCACCGAUGAAGAUAAUGACGGUAGUCGGAGAAGAAGCCCCGGCUAACUUCGUGCCAGCAGCCGCUGUAACAC